rnacentral:rRNA from 1 species
GCAUGUCUUCGAAUAUGAGGAAGCAAUUCUCUCUGAAUCUGCGAACGGCUCCGCAAACCAGUUGUAAACCAAAGCAAGCAUGUCCGUUGGCGGGCCCUUUCGGGGGCCUGCCGGUGGAGAAUAUAUGGAUACCCGUGGUAAUUCUGAGGCUAAUACAUGACAAUGUUCCUGGCUAUCGGGGCGGCAGGCCUGGUCUUCGGAUCGGGCAGGUUGUUCUGGUGGCCGGGGACGCGCGAGGGUAAAGCUUGGCACAUAUCGGGAAGGAACGCGCGUUCGGACCACCAUUUUCAAGGGUGUCUGGCGGAACUGGGGGCCCUCCGGGGCUCUCGGGGAUGCUGGGCGCCUGGUGGCUCUUGCGAUGUGCUUCUGACCUAUCAACUAGACGGCAGCGUAACGGACAUGCUAUGGUAACAACGGGUACAGAGGAUCAGGGUUCGAUCCUGGAGAGUGGGCCUGAGAGAUUGCUCAUACUUCUAAGGAAGGCAGCAGGCGCGCAACGUUCCCCUUGGACAAUGUCCGAGGGCGCUAGGGGAAAUAUGGAUGGCUGCCCUCGUGGUGGCUAAUCCAAAUGGGUUUGUCGUAAACAGGCUCUCGAGUAACAAUUAGAGGACAAGUCUGGUGCCAGCACCCGCGGUAAUUCCAGCUCUAAUAGCAUACGUUAAAGUUGUUGCAGUUAAAACGCUCGUAGUCGGCCAUAGGCGUUCUUAGCUCUCGCUGCGGUGCUCGGGUCUGUGCCCCCUUAUCGGGGGGCGCGCCGGGUGCUCGGUGGGGGUGACGUUUGCCAAGCGUGUUCGCGUCCGUUCUUUUGCUUGCGCCCUCACGGGUGCCGGUGAUUGAUUACAGGGCUUUCGCAGUUGUCCCGUGGGGUUUUGGUGCUAGUACUCGCUUAACUGUGGGGAACGCGCUGAUUCCAUGCGGGGCUAGGUCGUUAGCCUGGGGCCGGAUGCCAUUGGUCGUGAUUAAACUGGGGUGCUCAAUGCAGGCCUAACGGCUAUGUACAGCACAGCACGACAUUAAGCGAGGUUGGCUGGCCCCCAAGCGGGCCGGCUGGCUUGUACUGAAGUUGGGCAAAAGGGGUGUUCGUGGGUGACCGAAUUGCCGGGCGAGUGGUGAAAUACGUUGACCCUGGCAAGUCGUCCAAAUGCGAAAGCAGUCAUCAAGGGCACACCCAUUGAUCAAGAGCGAAAGUUAAGGGUUCGAAGACGAUCAGAUACCGUCGUAGUCUUAACUAUAAAUGAUACUGGCCAGGGAUAGGGCAAUGUCCAUCUCGACUCCCCCCGGACCUUUGGGAAACCAAAGCUUCUGAGUUCUGGGGGGAGUAUGGUCGCAAGGCUGAAACUUAAAGGAAUUGACGGAAGGGCACACAAAGAGUGGAACCUGCGGCUUAAAUUGACUCAACACGGGGAAACUCACCAGGUCAGGAUACGCGGAUGAAGGACAAGCUGAGAGACUUUUCUCAAUGACGUAAGUGGUGGUGCAUGGCCGUUCUUAGUUCGUGGAGUGGUUUGUCUGGUCUAUUCCGAUAACGAGCGAGACCCCGGCGUUCUAACUAGGGGUGGUGGCUAUGCCUAUGAUAUAACGCCUGCUUGGGUGGAGCCUGCCUCACGGCGGGUGACGCCUUCGAGUGGGCCGGUCUCGGUAAGCUGCCGCUUCCUGGGCCCUGGCCGCAGGUCGGGGUGCAACAUUCUUCUUAGACGGAUCAGGGCCAAAAAGGUCCUUGAAAUGGGUUAAUAACAGGUCAGUCAUGCCCUUAGAUGUUCUGGGCCGCACGCGCGUUACAAUGGCAGGGAAAACAAGUGUUCAUUUUGCAGAGCUCUUCCGGGCCCUAACGGGUCCGGUAAUCACUAGGCCCUGCCUCGACUGGGAUAGUCUCUUGCAAUUCUGGGUCUUAAACGAGGAAUUUUUAGUAGGCGCGGGUCAUCAGCCCGCGCCGAAUGCGUCCCUGCCCUUUGUACACACCGCCCGUCGCUGCUACCGAUUGGGCCUGGCG